rnacentral:rRNA from 1 species
UACGUAGGGUCCGAGCGUUGUCCGGAAUUAUUGGGCGUAAAGGGCUCGUAGGCGGUCUGUUGCGUCGGGAGUGAAAACUUACAGCUUAACUGUGAGCGUGCUUCCGAUACGGGCAGACUUGAGGUAUUCAGGGGAGAACGGAAUUCCUGGUGUAGCGGUGAAACGCGCAGAUAUCAGGAGGAACACCGGUGGCGAAGGCGGUUCUCUGGGAAUAUCCUGACGCUGAGGAGCGAAAGUGUGGGGAGCGAACAGG